UACGAGGGGGGCAAAUGUUGUUCGGAAUCACUGGGCGUAAAGGGUGCGUAGGCGGGUCUUUUAAGUCAGGGGUGAAAUCCUGGAGCUCAACUCCAGAACUGCCUUUGAUACUGAAGAUCUUGAGUCCGGGAGAGGUGAGUGGAACUGCGAGUGUAGAGGUGAAAUUCGUAGAUAUUCGCAAGAACACCAGUGGCGAAGGCGGCUCACUGGCCCGGUACUGACGCUGAGGCACGAAAGCGUGGGGAGCGAACAGG
rnacentral:rRNA from 1 species